rnacentral:rRNA from 1 species
GUGUCAGCCGCCGCGGUAAUACGGAGGGUGCAAGCGUUAUCCGGAUUCACUGGGUUUAAAGGGUGCGUAGGUGGGCAAGUAAGUCAGUGGUGAAAUCUCCGGGCUUAACCCGGAAACUGCCAUUGAUACUAUUUGUCUUGAAUACUGUGGAGGUCAGCGGAAUAUGUCAUGUAGCGGUGAAAUGCUUAGAUAUGACAUAGAACACCAAUUGCGAAGGCAGCUGGCUACACAAAUAUUGACACUGAGGCACGAAAGCGUGGGGAUCAAACAGGAGGAUAUACCACGGGAUUAC